AAUGAACGCUGGCGGCGCGCCUAAUACAUGCAAGUCGAGCGAGAAGACGUAGCAGUACGUUUGUAAAGCGGCGAACGGGUGAGGAAUACAUGGGUAACCUACCCUCGAGUGGGGAAUAACUAGCCGAAAGGUUAGCUAAUACCGCGUACGCUCCUUGGACUUCGGUUCAGGGAGGAAAGCGAUACCGUGGGUAUCGCGCUCUUGGUUGGGCUCAUGUCCUAUCAGCUUGUUGGUGAGGAACGGCUCACCAAGGCUUCGACGGGUAGCUGGUCUGAGAGGACGAUCAGCCACACUGGCACUGCGACACGGGCCAGACUCCUACGGGAGGCAGCAGUAAGGAAUAUUGCGCAAUGGGCGAAAGCCUGACGCAGCGACGCCGCGUGGGGGA
rnacentral:rRNA from 1 species